CCGGCUUAUUGAUUUGGAUUUUCGGGUCGGGAGUAUGGGUUUCAGUUUCCUAAUCUCUCUUUUCUUUCACUCUUUCCUUUUCUCUUCAAACCCUAGAUCCAUUCAAUAUUUCUGGCCGUCACGCUCACAGGCGAUUUCUCAUCUCUGUAAUCGGAAUCCAUUCAUACGCUUCUUCCUUCUUUGGUGAUUCUUCAGUUUUAUGCACACAAUUUAAUCUUCCAAUUAAAAGAAAAACAAUUUAUGGGAAAGCUUGGGAAGAAAUUAUGCUUUGUAGUUUGCCCUAUUCGUCUUCACGUCCUUCGUAUACGCCAAGGCUGGUGUUGAUAAUAAGACCUUUUUUUCUAUUGACAUGAGGCUGUGAUGAACAUGUAUAUGUGAUUCAGAUCGGGGUGCCGCUUAAACUUUCACGUGGCAAAUUGGAUGGAUGGCAGGUGCUCACCUGCAACCUCCAAUGCAGCCAUGUUGGGUCUAUGAUUUUUCAAUUAUACAAUCUGAGAAUUGAAUAACUUAUACCUUCUCACUUUGAUAUCCAGAUCAAAACUAAAUAGAUCAGAUGUAACUUAUCAAUGUCUGAAGUGAGCUCAUGAAUAAUGUCCAUUAAUGAUCAAGGUAAUACACAUACAUGAAAAUUUGUUCAUCCACUUCUUCCUUCUCUGCCAAAACCACCAUUCUCCGCUUGAUUAAUUGGUGAAUUAGGCUAAAAAGAAUGGAAACCAAAUUGACAUAUCAGAGUUUCGAGCUCAGCUUGAUGCAUUGGGUUUGAAAAUUAUAGACGUUACAGCAGACGGAAAUUGCUUUUUCAGGUUUUGAACAUGCCUCUCUGGACUCAUCUAUAUCUUUUUUUAAAGAUUAAUUGGUAGGACCUGCUCCCUCUCAUCGAUAUCCGUGAUGGAUAUCUUGAAAUCACUUUCUUAUUUAAAGACCAGAUUUAUGGUUGAGCUAAAUGGUAUAGUCUCAUUUAGGAAUACUUGGUACCUCAAGAAUACAUCAAUACAUUGAUGGAGUCAAUGUUGAAUAGAUGUCCGACAUCUUCCUUUGUUUUUUAUAGUAUUAAUCUAAAUUUGUUUCAUUUGAAAGAUAUAAUUUUGACUCGGUGGUGGGUCAAACUCAAGAAGCAGUGGCACAACAUGAAUAAAACAGACCAAGGGUGCCGCUUUCUCUGACGUAGAGAGAUUCAAAGAUAACUAACUGUUGUUAUCUGCAGACGGCAGCAACGCUGACUAUGUGUUCCGGUUCAGUGAAGGCAGCCUAGCGGAGUUACGGUUUGGUAAGAUAUGAUGUCGGUUGGAAGUUUUAGGAUUCUGAUGAUGUCUGGUUAACUCCGGUGACCUGAACCAGUUUGGCUGCGAUUUCGACAACAUCAAUCUGAAUAAGUAUUUGAAUCAGGCACCUUUGAUACAACACAUAUGUGUUGCCGGCGAUUGUUAGUUGUUUUGAAGUUUUUGUUAAGAAUGUUGCAGUUAAAAAGUGACGAUGGCAGCCUAGAGGGGUUAAAGUUUGGUAAGAAAUGAUGGCGGCUGGAAGUUUUAGGAUUCUAACGAAGUCUGUUUAACUCCGAUGAGAACUCGGUGACCUGAACCAGGGUUACGCAUGAAGGAGAGGAAGAAGAAAGAUGAACUGUUAAGUUGAAAAGAGGGGUGGAUAUCGUUGUCGGAGCAGUCGGUCGUGUUAAGGAUCACAUUGAGAGAGUGAAUCUUGACUUAUGCUCAUUGAAAUUCUGUAUCCUUGAUGAAGCUGAUGAAAUGUUGAGGCAAGGUCUUACAUCAAAGGGUGCAAGAUUUUCCAACCAUAACUCUGGGAGGCAUUCUGGAUCAAGACAGUGAUGACUUGCGACAUAUACCUGGUGUGAUGACCCCAACAGAAGAAAUUUUUAUCCUGUAUAAAUUGCGAACUACAGGACAGCUUGCGGCAACUCCGCCAUUCCGGUACUCGAACCUGUUCGCUCUCAUAAUCUGGCAGGGAACGUACCGAUGGUGUUGGUUUGUUCUUUUGACGGCCGAUCCGAUGUAGAUGUAUGUGUACUCAUUGGAAGAUUCAUUGGAUUUGAGUUUUUAACGACUCAUUUAAGACUACAACGAUCGCAGUUUUGGUUACGAAUCGAGAUGAAACAUAUAUCAUUGACUGGAAAAUAGCAGAGCCCAUCUGAGAUGAACCAUAAACCAUCGACUAAAAAGGAAGAGUGCCCAAAUGAUACAGUAAAUUAUUUUGCUUUUUAGUUAUAUGCUUGCUUGAUUAUGUGGGAAAACAUUAUAGUAAAAUGAUAAAUUUCAAGUUCUAAGUUUAUAUCCGACACAAUCCGGAUUAAUCUUUGUUUUCAUUGCUGAUUUAUGUAUAGCUUAUUGUGAAUUUUAGAAAAUUUAACAGGAAUGUUUUAUAUAGCAAAUCAUGGAUUAUGAUAGGAAAAGAUGGGAAGUCAUAAUUGAGAUA
rnacentral:lncRNA from 1 species